rnacentral:rRNA from 1 species
GAUGAACGCUGGCGGCAUGCCUAACACAUGCAAGUCGAGCGAACAGACGAGGCACUUGCUUCACUGACGUUAGAGGCGGAAGGGUUAGUAACACGUGGAUACCCUACUUAUAAGUCUCGGCUAGCUUCGGGAACCCGGAGCUCAUACGAGCUAAUGUAUUGAACCGCAUGGUUUAAUAGUGCAAGCCGUUUUUGCUGUCGCUUAUAGAUUGAUCAGCGCCGCAUUAGCUAGUUGGUAAGGUAACGGCUCACCAAGGCGACGAUGCGUAGCCGGCCUGAGAGGAUGACCGGCCACACUGGAACUGAGACACGGCCCAGACUCCUACGGGAGGCAGCAGUGGGGAAUUUUCGGCAAUGGGCGAAAGCCUGACGGAGCAACGCCGCGUGAAGGAUGAAGGCCUUCGGAUCGUAAACUGCUGUUAUUAGGAAAGAACAAAUGCGGAAGUAUCCAUGCACGUCUUGACGGUACCUUAUCAAAAAGCCACGGCUAACUACGUG